rnacentral:rRNA from 1 species
GACGAACGCUGGCGGCGUGCUUAACACAUGCAAGUCGAACGGAAAGGCCCUGCUUUUGUGGGGUGCUCGAGUGGCGAACGGGUGAGUAACACGUGAGUAACCUGCCCUUGACUUUGGGAUAACUUCAGGAAACUGGGGCUAAUACCGGAUAGGAGCUCCUGCUGCAUGGUGGGGGUUGGAAAGUUUCGGCGGUUGGGGAUGGACUCGCGGCUUAUCAGCUUGUUGGUGGGGUAGUGGCUUACCAAGGCUUUGACGGGUAGCCGGCCUGAGAGGGUGACCGGCCACAUUGGGACUGAGAGACGGCCCAGACUCCUACGGGAGGCAGAAGGGGGGAAUAUUGCACAAUGGGCGGAAGCCUGAUGCAGCAACGCCGCGUGCGGGAUGACGGCCUUCGGGUUGUAAACCGCUUUCGCCUGUGACGAAGCGUGAGUGACGGUAAUGGGUAAAGAAGCACCGGCUAACUACGUG